rnacentral:rRNA from 1 species
CCUACGGUGCGCAGCAGUGGGGAAUAUUGGGCAAUGGAGGCAACUCUGACCCAGCAAUGCCGCGUGAGUGAUGAAGGUAAUUUUAUUGUAAAGCUCUUUUCUUUGGAACGAAUAAAUGACGGUACCAAAGGAAUAAGCCCCGGCUAACUACGUGCCCGCAGCCGCGGUAAUACGUAGGGGGCAAGCGUGGUUCGGAUGGACUUGGCGUAAAGUGUGUGUAGGUGGUUGGAUAAGUAAGAUGUGUAAUACCCAGGGCUUAACUCGGGGUCUGAAACGAAAACUGUUAGACUUGAGUACUGGAGAGGAUAUUGGAAUUCCUAGUGUAGCGGUGGAAUGCGUAGAUAUUAGGAGGAACAUCAGUGGCGAAGGCGACUAUCUGGACAGCAACUGACACUGAGGCACGAAAGCGUGGGGAGCAAACAGGAUUAGAUACCCUGGUAGUC